rnacentral:misc_RNA from 1 species
CCUAACUGCACCCAACAAUAACUUAUCAUGGGAAAUGGAUGUCUUUCUCCCCUGUUGACAGUAGAGUUCUACAACAUUCUGCCCAUAUGGCAACCACUCAAGUGGAGCAACAUUUACUGCUUCAACACAAUUAAACCCACAAUCAAAUCCAGAAUAAUAUGCUCCUGGAAGGACAAGAACAAACUCCCCAGGAUACUGAAUGCAACGAUAAACAGGUAUAUCCUCAGACUUCAAUGUAGAUGGGUAUAGUUUAUCGGCCAG